GGUUAAGCGACUAAGCGUACACGGUGGAUGCCCUGGCAGUCAGAGGCGAUGAAGGACGUGCUAAUCUGCGAAAAGCGUCGGUAAGGUGAUAUGAACCGUUACAGCCGGCGAUGUCCGAAUGGGGAAACCCAGUGUGAUUCGUCACACUAUCGUUAACUGAAUACAUAGGUUAACGAGGCGAACCGGGGGAACUGAAACAUCUAAGUACCCCGAGGAAAAGAAAUCAACCGAGAUUCCCCCAGUAGCGGCGAGCGAACGGGGAGCAGCCCAGAGUCUGAAUCAGCUUGUGUGUUAGUGGAACGGUCUGGAAAGUCCGACGGUACAGGGUGAUAGUCCCGUACACCAAAAUGCACAGGCUGUGAACUCGAAGAGUAGGGCGGGACACGUGGUAUCCUGUCUGAAUAUGGGGGGACCAUCCUCCAAGGCUAAAUACUCCUGACUGACCGAUAGUGAACCAGUACCGUGAGGGAAAGGCGAAAAGAACCCCGGCGAGGGGAGUGAAAAAGAACCUGAAACCGUGUACGUACAAGCAGUGGGAGCCUCUUUAUGGGGUGACUGCGUACCUUUUGUAUAAUGGGUCAGCGACUUAUAUUCUGUAGCAAGGUUAACCGUAUAGGGGAGCCGCAGGGAAACCGAGUCUUAACUGGGCGUUAAGUUGCAGGGUAUAGACCCGAAACCCGGUGAUCUAGCCAUGGGCAGGUUGAAGGUUGGGUAACACUAACUGGAGGACCGAACCGACUAAUGUUGAAAAAUUAGCGGAUGACUUGUGGCUGGGGGUGAAAGGCCAAUCAAACCGGGAGAUAGCUGGUUCUCCCCGAAAGCUAUUUAGGUAGCGCCUCGUGAACUCAUCUUCGGGGGUAGAGCACUGUUUCGGCUAGGGGGUCAUCCCGACUUACCAACCCGAUGCAAACUACGAAUACCGAAGAAUGUUAUCACGGGAGACACACGGCGGGUGCUAACGUCCGUCGUGAAGAGGGAAACAACCCAGACCGCCAGCUAAGGUCCCAAAGUCAUGGUUAAGUGGGAAACGAUGUGGGAAGGCCCAGACAGCCAGGAUGUUGGCUUAGAAGCAGCCAUCAUUUAAAGAAAGCGUAAUAGCUCACUGGUCGAGUCGGCCUGCGCGGAAGAUGUAACGGGGCUAAAC
rnacentral:rRNA from 1 species